rnacentral:lncRNA from 1 species
AGGGAUUGAACUUGAGUCCUUGUGCUUGCGCAGCAGGUGGCGAAACCACUCCCUUUUUCUUUUUUGAUUGCCACAGGAUCUGGGCCUCACUACCGUGUGGGAAGAUCAGCUUUCUUAUCUUUUGUCGCCAGCCCUGGCCUCCUAUGAAUUUGAGCGCACAACGAGCAUAUCUGCAGGAAAUGAGGAGUUUCAGGACGCCAUCAGGAGGGCUGUGCCUGACGGGCACACAUUUAAGGGCUUCCCCAUCCACUUCGUGUACAGAAAUGCAAGGCGUGCAUUUGCCACGUGUCUUCGGUCCCCGUUUUGUGAAGAAAUAAUCUGUUGCCGUGGAGACCAAGUGCACUGGCAGUGCGUGUCCAGUGUUCACUUACCCUGAGUCGGCCUGUGCUGUUUGGAUCAUGUUUGCUUGUGAAUGAGAUUAUCUUUCACAAAUUAAGGAGAAAUUAACCUUACAACUGUACAGCCAUACCACCCUGAAUGCGCCCAAUCUCGUCAUAUCUGAAGCUAAGCAGGGCUGGGCCUGUUAGUACUUGGAUGAGAAACCUCACAACAGACUUGCUUAUUACGUGGGUGAAAAUAUAUUUUACCAAGUCAUCACUUUUGUGGUUCACCUAUGAUGCUAGGGAUCUUUGAGAUUUUCCAGAAAUGCAUGAGAAGACUCUGAAGUAAGAACAGGAAAAAAUACCAGGAAAGCAUAGAUAUGAAUAACAAAGCUCACAUGAAAGUACAUGGAUAAUUUAUAAAUACUUAUUAUCAAAAUUGAGUAUUUUAGAAAAAAAUAGGUUGCACCCUUUUGUCAUGAACAUUUUCUGUAAUUAACAUUGCGAGUCUAUCCCUGAUUUUUGGUGGUCAAAAGAUUAAUUUGUUUUUGGUUUUUUUGUUUUUUAUUUAUAUAUUAAUUGGUACAUUUUAGGUAUGAAAUACGUUUACAUUUAUCAUUGGGUGCUUGUACCUGAACGUGAUGAAUCUUGGUUCUUAUUUUUUUCCCCAUUACCUGUGCGCCCUUCACCCCCUCCACCCCCUCCCCUAUUUACAUAGACUUUGUUUCCUUUUUUCUUUUCUUUUUUUUUUUUCUUAUGAGAAUAAUUUUUCCUUUCCUUUCUUCCCUUUCCCCUUCCCCUCCCGCCACCCGUACGCCUUUGCACCUUUUCCUAUUUCAAAGUUUAAUAUUUUUUAAAGAUUAAUUUCUUUAUGGAUUCCACCCUCCGAAACUGAUUUUCCCCUUCUUUCUCGUGUUACCAG